AAACCCUAAAAUCUAGGGACUUUGUCCCGUCGAGCCGCCGCCACCUACCGUAUCUUCCUCGGGAUCCAGAUCCGUUUUCCUCUUCGUGUUCAUCACCACACCAACCCGAGCCAGCCACCUCUCCUUCCACUCUGCCUCUCCAUCGGGAUCCACCUACAACACCCGAGCUCCUCUCAUGCUCCUCCCAUGGCGCCCUCGUUCCCGAGCGGAUCGAGCCAGCCGUCCCCGCCGGCGCUGAGCAGCAUCAGCUCGCGCCAGCUCCGGCGAGCCCUGCCGGAACCGCCGUCGCUCGAAGCUUCCUCGACCCUGUCGCCGACCAGAUCCGCGGCUGCCCUGCGCCGCCUGGCCUUCCCCGCCUGGACCUCGUCAGCCAGCAGCCCGCCAGGCCAGGCCAGUCUGCUCCGUCCGGCUACCUCCUGUCGUCCCCGUCGCCAUUGGACUGCGCCGCCGCACCGGAUCUCCUUCCUCGCCGGCCUUCCCUGCAGCCGCUGCCGCGCCGUUGACCCCGCCCUCGCCGCGCCCCUGUUUCCCCUGCUUCGAACGGCAUCAACGACGACGAAGCCGUCCUCCUGCGUUGACCGCGCCCUGCCUCGCCUCGUUGUGCCUGCGUGGCCGCAGCCAGCGCCAGGCCCAGCCAAAGCCGGCCCCUCUUGGGCCUCCUCCACCAAACGGGCUAAGCCCAGGCUUCGGUUUCGUUCCGGAGUUGUGAGGAUUCGUUCGACUCCGUCCGUUUGUCUUCUUCAUGGACUCGUUCUUCUUCCUUGCGGGAUUUCAGGCA